AUUUCCAGACAGAAUGGAGGGACGCUUUGGGUGACAUCUGAGACGCAGUCGCACAUCAACAUGCAGCCGGACUCCGGGGACGUGGCGGCGGCCUCUGUGGUCUCGGUGCUGCUGAUGGCGACCGAGAGGAGCCGGUGGCAGCGCCUCCCGAGCCCGGUGCUGCGGCGGAGGUAACGGUCGCGCUCUGGGGCGGGCGAUGCUUGGCCUGCCAGCGCCCAGAGAGGUGAGGAGGGGGCGGAGGACCAGAGGAAAGAAUCCGCGAGACCCGGGGUUCUGCUUUCAGUCGCACCCCGAAAGUUUCAGCUGGAGAAAUUUUCUGCUGGGAAGCUCAUCCUCAAAGAGAAAGCUGAGACCACUGCAUUCAGAAUUCAGACAUGACAUAAGAUCCAAAUGGCAAUCCUGGCACUUGACUACUGUGUGGAAACAACUUGUCAUGCCUGCAUUGUGGAAACGGUGUUCAAAAUGAAACUCACAACAUACAAGCUGAAAUAGCACUUAGAGUUGUUGGUAUUUCAGGGAGAACACCCAAUACAUUAAAUACAAGAUAUCUUUGUUGGGUUGCUUUCUGCCUUAAUGUCAAUCAAUAUGUUGGAAGUUAUCAAGAAGUUCAAAUUCUGAUGAAGAAGGAAGAAUUAACCCAUGAAAUUAUCAACAUUUCAUAAUAUUUUUGAAAAGGGGUGGUGAUAGAAAGAAAGAGACAUUAUCAAGAAGGAAUUCAGAUAAGGGACAAGCCACAUUUUGAUUACAACCAACUUACUGAAUUGGCAGUGGAGGUUGAUUUGGGAGAAAAGCUGUGGCCAUAAACAUUGAAGAAGAAGAGCAGAUUCUUUGUGACAUUGAGACCUUCUACAGUACCACAGUGGAGGAAAUGCCAAUGAAUGUGGCUCACAGCACUCACUCUUGUGAACUAAGAGAUAACAAUGUGCAUUGUGUUUUUUUCUUUGGGGAUAUUUGAAGCUUGUCUCAAGCUCAUAAUGGAUCAGAAAUACAGAUUUUGAUAGUAAUGUUACUCUUACUCAUGAGCUCAUAUGAGGAAGGUCAUUGGGUUUAUCUUCUUUAGAAUUAGAAUAAUGGACUUGGUUAUUAAAGGUGGGAUUAUAAAAGUCAUUCUUAGAAGUUUAUUUCCUAGUUCUGUAAAAAUGGUUACCCUGAGCGUUCUCUGUCAUCUAAUACUAUAUUUGUGGCCUGGACAAUAUGUGCUGUAGAAAAGAAGCCAAUUCUAUUAAGCUAGUGUAUCUGCUUUUAUUGUGUAGUCAUUAGACUGAAUAGAACAAACUUGAAAA